GUACAGUGGUACAUCAGGAAGAGAACAAUGCACUAUAGCACCACCCACCUAAACAACUACUUUACCCAGCAGAGAUGAGACGUCAAUAAUCAGUAGAACUGCAACAAGGAUGAACUUAAAUUCAGUCAUGAAAUACAACGUCAUCAUUUCCAUCUUCUACAUAGCUUUUAAUAUCAUUCUGGUUUCAGGUUCCUCUCUCAGUGAUAAAGUCCACCAGACUCCAGCUCAUAUGAACAAAAAUCCUGGAGAAGAAGCUAAAAUCUACUGUUCACACAGUAUAGACACCUACAACGUAAUACUUUGGUACAAACAGUCAAAAGGACAAAUGCAGCUGAUGGGAUAUCUUUAUUUUAAAAGUGUUACUCCAGAGAAAGGAUUUAAUGUGAUGAUAGAAGGGGAUGCAAGUAAAGACAAGAACUGCACAUUAACAAUUAAAGACCUGGAUGUGAACAGCAGUGCAGUGUACUUCUGUGCUGCUAGUUACCACAGUGCUACAUCUCACUGCUCCUCAAUACAAAAACCUCCAUCUCUAACACAGCCUCCUGUUUCCCUUCCUCUCAUUAGGUGGCAGUAGCACAUCUCCAACAAGGCCUUUAGUCUCAACUAGUGGUGUUUGGAGCUAAUGGAGAAGAUGAUUGACACGUUGAGAGGAGGAGGAUCAACAGUGACUCCGCCCAUCUAAUAAACUCAUGAUGCUUUGCUGAUAGGAGGCUUGACUCAGAGAGGAGGUUGGAAAUAAUCAGUACAAGUGCAGAAGCACUGAAGGAAACAAUGAAUCACAACAAUAUAUAAUAAGUUUAACAUUUACAGGACACAACAUGUUGGUCUGGUUCUUAAGUGUCACUUUCAACACCAUUCUGGUUUCAGGUUCCUCUCUCAGUGAUAAAGUCCGUCAGACUCCAGCUGACAUGUACAAAACUACUGGAGAAGAAGCUAAAAUCUACUGUUCACACAGUAUAGACAACUAUGAUAAAAUACUCUGGUACAAACAGUCAAAAGGACAAAUGCAGUUCCUGGGAUACAUAUUCGCAGGCAGUGGAACCCCAGAGAGUGGAACGGGUGUGAAGAUAGACGGGAGUGCAGAAAAAGACCAGAACUGUACAUUAAAAAUUGAGAAAGUCGACCUAAACAGCAGUGCAGUGUACUUCUGUGCU